rnacentral:rRNA from 1 species
GAUGAACGCUGGCGGCGUGCUUAAGACAUGCAAGUCGAACGCAGUCGCUCCGCAAGGGGCGGCUGAGUGGCGAAUGGGUGCGUAACACGUAGGUGACCUGCCCGGAAGUGGGGAAUAACAGUUCGAAAGGACUGCUAAUACCGCAUGUGGUGCUGGGGUUUUGAAGCCUGGUACCAAAGGUGCUCGCAAGAGUGCCGCUUUCGGAGGGGCCUGCGGCCCAUCAGCUAGUUGGUAGGGUAACGGCCUACCAAGGCGACGACGGGUAGGGGACCUGAGAGGGUGACCCCCCACACUGGCACUGACACACGGGCCAGACUCCUACGGGAGGCAGCAGUCGGGAAUAUUGCACAAUGGACGAAAGUCUGAUGCAGCAACGCCGCGUGCGCGAUGAAGGCCUUCGGGUCGUAAAGCGCUUUUCGGGUGGAUGAGAUAGGACAGUACACCCGGAAUAAGGAACGGCUAACUACGUGCCAGCAGCCGCGGUAAAACGUAGGUUCCGAGCGUUAUCCGGAUUUACUGGGCGUAAAGCGCGUUCAGGCGGUUUGGCAAGUCGGGCAUGAAAUCUCUGGGCUCAACCCGGAGAGGUUGUCCGAUACUGCUAAACUGGAGGGCAGUAGAGGGUGGUGGAAUUCCGGGUGUAGUGGUGAAAUGCGUAGAGAUCCG